rnacentral:rRNA from 1 species
CAAAUUGAGAGUUUGAUCCUGGCUCAGGAUGAACGCUGGCGGCGUGCCUAAUACAUGCAAGUCGAACGCUUUGUGGUUCAACUGAUUUGAAGAGCUUGCUCAGAUAUGACGAUGAACAUUGCAAAGAGUGGCGAACGGGUGAGUAACACGUGGGAAACCUACCUCUUAGCAGGGGAUAACAUUUGGAAACAGAUGCUAAUACCGUAUAACAAUGACAACCGCAUGGUUGUUAUUUAAAAGAUGGUUCUGCUAUCACUAAGAGAUGGUCCCGCGGUGCAUUAGCUAGUUGGUAAGGUAAUGGCUUACCAAGGCGAUGAUGCAUAGCCGAGUUGAGAGACUGAUCGGCCACAAUGGGACUGAGACACGGCCCAUACUCCUACGGGAGGCAGCAGUAGGGAAUCUUCCACAAUGGGCGAAAGCCUGAUGGAGCAACGCCGCGUGUGUGAUGAAGGGUUUCGGCUCGUAAAACACUGUUGUAAGAGAAGAAUGACAUUGAGAGUAACUGUUCAAUGCGUGACGGUAUCUUACCAGAAAGGAACGGCUAAAUACGUGCCAGCAGCCGCGGUAAUACGUAUGUUCCAAGCGUUAUCCGGAUUUAUUGGGCGUAAAGCGAGCGCAGACGGUUAUUUAAGUCUGAAGUGAAAGCCCUCAGCUCAACUGAGGAAUUGCUUUGGAAACUGGAUGACUUGAGUGCAGUAGAGGAAAGUGGAACUCCAUGUGUAGCGGUGAAAUGCGUAGAUAUAUGGAAGAACACCAGUGGCGAAGGCGGCUUUCUGGACUGUAACUGACGUUGAGGCUCGAAAGUGUGGGUAGCAAACAGGAUUAGAUACCCUGGUAGUCCACACCGUAAACGAUGAGUGCUAGGUGUUUGAGGGUUUCCGCCCUUAAGUGCCGCAGCUAACGCAUUAAGCACUCCGCCUGGGGAGUACGACCGCAAGGUUGAAACUCAAAGGAAUUGACGGGGACCCGCACAAGCGGUGGAGCAUGUGGUUUAAUUCGAAGCAACGCGAAGAACCUUACCAGGUCUUGACAUCCCUUGACAACUCCAGAGAUGGAGUGUUCCCUUCGGGGACGAGGUGACAGGUGGUGCAUGGUUGUCGUCAGCUCGUGUCGUGAGAUGUUGGGUUAAGUCCCGCAACGAGCGCAACCCUUAUUACUAGUUGCCAGCAUUCAGUUGGGCACUCUAGUGAGACUGCCGGUGACAAACCGGAGGAAGGUGGGGAUGACGUCAAAUCAUCAUGCCCCUUAUGACCUGGGCUACACACGUGCUACAAUGGCGUAUACAACGAGUUGCCAACCCGCGAGGGUGAGCUAAUCUCUUAAAGUACGUCUCAGUUCGGAUUGUAGGCUGCAACUCGCCUACAUGAAGUCGGAAUCGCUAGUAAUCGCGGAUCAGCACGCCGCGGUGAAUACGUUCCCGGGUCUUGUACACACCGCCCGUCACACCAUGAGAGUUUGUAACACCCAAAGCCGGUGGGGUAACCUUCGGGAGCCAGCCGUCUAAGGUGGGACAGAUGAUUAGGGUGAAGUCGUAACAAGGUAGCCGUAGGAGAACCUGCGGCUGGAUCACCUCCUUU